rnacentral:rRNA from 1 species
UGCAGAGGGUGCAAGCGUUGUUCGGAAUCAUUGGGCGUAAAGCGCACGUAGGCGGCUUGCCAAGUCAGGUGUGAAAGCCUGGGGCUCAACACCAGAAGUGCACUUGAAACUGGCGAGCUUGAAUGUCGGAGAGGGCAGUGGAAUUCCGAGUGUAGAGGUGAAAUUCGUAGAUAUUCGGAGGAACACCAGUGGCGAAGGCGACUGCCUGGACGAACAUUGACGCUGAGGUGCGAAAGCGUGGGGAGCAAACAGG